CCUACGGGAGGCAGCAGUGGGGAAUAUUGGACAAUGGGCGAAAGCCUGAUCCAGCAAUUCCGCGUGUGUGAAGAAGGCCUUCGGGUUGUAAAGCACUUUAGUUGGGGAAGAAACAGCUUGGCCACACCAAGCCUUGACGGUACCCAAAGAAUAAGCACCGGCUAACUCUGUGCCAGCAGCCGCGGUAAUACAGAGGGUGCAAGCGUUAAUCGGAUUUACUGGGCGUAAAGGGUGCGUAGGUGGUUUUGUAAGUCGGAUGUGAAAGCCUGGGGCUCAACCUCAGAAUUGCACUCGAUACUGCAAGACUAGAGUUCGGUAGAGGGCGGCGGAAUUCCCGGUGUAGCGGUGAAAUGCGUAGAUAUCGGGAGGAACAUCAAUGGCGAAGGCAGCCGCCUGGGCCUGAACUGACACUGAGGCACGAAAGCGUGGGUAGCAAACAGGAUUAGAUACCCUGGUAGUCCACGCUGUAAACGAUGAGAACUUGACGUUGGUUCGUUUUACGAAUCGGUGUCGCAGCUAACGCGAUAAGUUCUCCGCCUGGGGAGUACGGCCGCAAGGUUGAACUUAAAGGAAUUGACGG
rnacentral:rRNA from 1 species